GUGAUUUCUUGUGACUGUGACUUUUAUUGUGGUGUUAAAUUUAAGCUACGUUUUAUUAAACAGUCGAUUUCUUUUCAAGACGAUCAGUCGAUCGUUGCUUCAAAAGCUAAGAAUACUUGCCUUCACACUCUGCUCAGCUGCAGUUCCUGAGAAUCUGUUGUGUAAUAUACCUCCUUCUAUAAGCCGAGAAUGUGAGAAACAUGACGCCACAUGGGAAUGAGGUAUGAUGUAUUGAGCAGAACGCAUGAUAAGAACGUCAAUGGUACAGUUUUAUUUGCUCCAAAGACAUAUAAAGGGAUGCUGUCGACCUCUGCUUAGUCUUUAUUCCAAAGAGCUGCUGCUAAACCUCUGCUCUGGUAUGUACUCCUUUUGUUGCCUCGUCAAUCCUCUCAUAUUUAACAGCACCUAUUCUGCUAUUGUACCUCUUCAGGGGUCACGCUCUGGCAGUAUUUGUAUUAAACUCAUUGGCCACUGUUGGCUUCAUGAGUCAAAGACUAACACAACGUAUACAAAAUUAAUAUUAGAACAUAAGAUAAAAAUCGGUGUGUUGGUGAUUUAUCUGAUUUUACGAAAGAACACAAACCAGCAAUUUAGAAUAUUUCUUACCUGCUGAAAAAGGCUCUUUUGCGCGCCUC